rnacentral:rRNA from 1 species
CCCCAGACUCCUACGGGAGGCAGCAGUGGGGGAUAUUGCACAAUGGGGGGAACCCUGAUGCAGCGACGCCGCGUGAGCGAAGAAGUACCUCGGUAUGUAAAGCUCUAUCAGCAGGGAAGAAAAUGACGGUACCUGACUAAGAAGCCCCGGCUAAAUACGUGCCAGCAGCCGCGGUAAUACGUAUGGGGCAAGCGUUAUCCGGAUUUACUGGGUGUAAAGGGAGCGUAGACGGCAGUGCAAGUCUGGAGUGAAAGGCGGGGGCUCAACCCCCGGACUGCUCUGGAAACUGUACGGCUGGAGUGCAGGAGAGGUAAGUGGAAUUCCUAGUGUAGCGGUGAAAUGCGUAGAUAUUAGGAGGAACACCAGUGGCGAAGGCGGCUUACUGGACUGUAACUGACGUUGAGGCUCGAAAGCGUGGGGAGCAAACAGGAUUAGAUACCCCAGUA